CCCUGUAUCGAAAGUGACUGUGGUCUCUGGUUGCCAGGUCAUUAAUACUACAGGAAAGUCUUUCCCAUGUUUGCAGGAUAGCUUUGUUCCUCUCAAAUCCUGUAUCUUUCACACA
rnacentral:snoRNA from 1 species